AUGGUGAUGCGAAAAGGCUUUUAG
rnacentral:siRNA from 1 species